CAGUAGCCGCGGGAAUAUGUAGGGUGCGAGCGUUAAUCGGAAUUACUGGGCGUAAAGCGUGCGCAGGCGGUUUUGUAAGACGGGCGUGAAAUCCCCGGGCUCAACCUGGGAAUGGCGCUUGUGACUGCAAAGCUAGAGUGCGGCAGAGGGGGAUGGAAUUCCGCGUGUAGCAGUGAAAUGCGUAGAUAUGCGGAGGAACACCGAUGGCGAAGGCAAUCCCCUGGGCCUGCACUGACGCUCAUGCACGAAAGCGUGGGGAGCAAACAGGAUUAGAUACCCCGGUAGUCCCUGUCUCUUAUAC
rnacentral:rRNA from 1 species